CAACCAGAGUAUUAUUACGGUGAAGCCGCUAGAACUGCUGUUGGAAAAUUCCCCGGUCCCGUCGAUCCACUCGUUCGAUCCGCUAAACAUCGAAAAUCCGGCGAUCGUAUCGGAUGAGAAUUUAUCGACCCUGGAACCCAUCGUGGACAACAUCCCUACCACCAGCAGCACCAGCACCGACGACUCGAAGGACUUGUCGGUCGUGGACGACGCCUACCUCGUCAUCUACUGUUGCACGUGCGACAAGGUGUCGCCCUUCGGGCUGUCGAAGGUGUUGCUCUGCGAAACGUGCAACAGGCCC